GUGCUUGCUUUGGCAGUACAUAUACUAAAAUUGGAAUAAUACAGAGAAGAUUAGCACGGCUGCUAGGCAGGGGAUGUCAUGCAAAUUCGUGAAGUGUUCCAUAUUUAA